rnacentral:rRNA from 1 species
ACGCUGGCGGCGUGCCUAAUACACGCAAGUAGAACGCUGAAGAGAGGAGCUUGCUCUUCUUGGAUGAGUUGCGAACGGGUGAGUAACGCGUAGGUAACCUGCCUUGUAGCGGGGGAUAACUAUUGGAAACGAUAGCUAAUACCGCAUAACAAUGGAUGACACAUGUCAUUUAUUUGAAAGGGGCAAUUGCUCCACUACAAGAUGGACCUGCGUUGUAUUAGCUAGUAGGUGAGGUAACGGCUCACCUAGGCGACGAUACAUAGCCGACCUGAGAGGGUGAUCGGCCACACUGGGACUGAGACACGGCCCAGACUCCUACGGGAGGCAGCAGUAGGGAAUCUUCGGCAAUGGGGGCAACCCUGACCGAGCAACGCCGCGUGAGUGAAGAAGGUUUUCGGAUCGUAAAGCUCUGUUGUAAGUCAAGAACGAGUGUGAGAGUGGAAAGUUCACACUGUGACGGUAGCUUACCAGAAAGGGACGGCUAACUACGUGCCAGCAGCCGCGGUAAUACGUAGGUCCCGAGCGUUGUCCGGAUUUAUUGGGCGUAAAGCGAGCGCAGGCGGUUUGAUAAGUCUGAAGUUAAAGGCCGUGGCUCAACCAUAGUUCGCUUUGGAAACUGUCAAACUUGAGUGCAGAAGGGGAGAGUGGAAUUCCAUGUGUAGCGGUGAAAUGCGUAGAUAUAUGGAGGAACACCGGUGGCGAAAGCGGCUCUCUGGUCUGUAACUGACGCUGAGGCUCGAAGGCGUGGGGAGCGAACAGGAUUAGAUACCCUGGUAGUCCACGCCGUAAACGAUGAGUGCUAGGUGUUGGAUCCUUUCCGGGAUUCAGUGCCGCAGCUAACGCAUUAAGCACUCCGCCUGGGGAGUACGACCGCAAGGUUGAAACUCAAAGGAAUUGACGGGGGCCCGCA